CGCGUAGGCGGUUCGCUAAGUCGGAUGUGAAAACUCUGGGCUCAACCCAGAGCCUGCAUCCGAAACUGGCGGGCUGGAGUUCUGGAGGGGGUAGCGGAAUUCCUGGUGUAGCGGUGAAAUGCGUAGAUAUCAGGAGGAACACCGGUGGCGAAGGCGGCUACCUGGACAGAAACUGACGCUGAGGCGCGAAAGCUAGGGGAGCGAACAGGAUUAGAUACCCUGGUAGUCCUAGCCCUAAACGAUGGAUACUUGGUGUGACUGGGAUUGAAUCCAGUCGUGCCGAAGCUAACGCAUUAAGUAUCCCGCCUGGGGAGUACGGUCGCAAGGCUGAA
rnacentral:rRNA from 1 species